rnacentral:tRNA from 1 species
GUGAGUGUAGCUCAGUAGUAGAGUGCAUGCCUAGCAUGCAUGACGUCCUGGGUUCAAUCCCCUGUACUUCCA